GACGAACGCUGGCGGCGUGCUUAACACAUGCAAGUCGAACGGAAAGGCCCUGCUUUUGUGGGGUGCUCGAGUGGCGAACGGGUGAGUAACACGUGAGUAACCUGCCCUUGACUUUGGGAUAACUUCAGGAAACUGGGGCUAAUACCGGAUAGGAGCUCCUGCUGCAUGGGGGGGGUUGGAAAGUUUCGGCGGUUGGGGAUGGACUCGCGGCUUAUCAGCUGGUUGGUGGGGUAGUGGCUUACCAAGGCUUUGACGGGUGGCCGGCCUGAGAGGGUGACCGGGCACAUUGGGACUGAGAUACGGCCCAGACUCCUACGGGAGGCAGCAGUGGGGAAUAUUGCACAAUGGGCGGAAGCCUGAUGCAGCAACGCCGCGUGCGGGAUGACGGCCUUCGGGUUGUAAACCGCUUUCGCCUGUGACGAAGCGUGAGUGACGGUAAUGGGUAAAGAAGCACCGGCUAACUACGUG
rnacentral:rRNA from 1 species